GGAUUAUGCCACCAACUCCAUGGGCCUUUUCUACAGUCUUAUUGUUCCAUUCUCGAGAAGGAACCUGCAAAACUACGUCUAGUAGGUAUACCCAGACCAAGGAGAAUGAACUCAUUUCGGGGAAAUGCAACUCUUGGACGGGACCCUGACAACUGCAGGUUUACUGUGGAGGGUUGUCCCAGCGGAGAGUCGCCGUUCCUUCUUGAUCUGAAUACCAGGAAAAUACUUCACUCAUCCGAGUAUGCGCGGUGUAACAGCCGGCCACCACCCGAGGGCGCUGGGUCGGUGACUGUCUCCGAGUCAGAGAGAAGGGACGGCAAAGGAAGCUUUUGCCAACAAUGUCAAAUUAAUGUGACUGAGCUGAAGAGGCAAGCGCUGGCCUUGGCAGACCCAAGUUCACUAACGAUUUGUGAAUACAUGUUUAACUUUACUUUGAGUCUCAAGGCUGGUUGUAUUUGACCCGUAAUGCUCGGUUUGCAUGACAAGGACAGACUGCCUUGGUUCCAACUUCCACUCAUUUAUUGCAGGGGAUAUAGGGGCACAGAUGGCAUGCUCAGAAUAAAGCGUGCUUCCACCUUCCUCCCAGUGUAGAUAGCUGUAGGCAUGCAGUGUGAUUCUGCAUGUUUCUGACUAUGUCCUGUGUCAUGACCCAUGCUCCAGCUUUGCCUUGUGGUCCUCAUCACUGAUGGGCACCCCUCUGAUGGUUUUAUGUUUGUACUCACUGCCAAUGUGCCUAUGAGAUAGUCCAGUGCAAUGGGUACACAUGGCUGUAAGACUUGUGAGCUCUGUAUUCCCAGCAUGUAGUAGCUGUUGCUCAGGCUGUGUUGAUUGUCAAGCAAAUAGCUGUUGGUCUCACGGUAAAUGACCGUUAAUUUAAAACACAUCCUGCCUUCCACACAGCCUACAAGCAAUUUAAAAAGUCGAAUAAAUCCCUGUAAUAUAACCUACACCAAUAAAUCCAUUAUUUAUUUGAGACAGUUCUAAAGAAGCAUAAUAUGAAGAAAAUGUAGUCUAUUUCCGAAUAAAAAAAUAGCUAUCCUUAUGUUAGGUCCUGAUGUGGCUAUGCCAAAUGGCUGUGGGCUACACUAGUUCAUUUAGCAGACAAGAUUUGCUUAUAAUUCCGUGGCAUUAUUUUUUAUUAUGUUAUAGUAUGAAGAAUACAAUUGCACAAAGCUGAAUAAAAUGUAGAUAUUUUCUCCAAAUUAUUUGAGGGAGUGCGCACAGAAAUAUGUACCCCUAUAUGCUUAUUUUAGAGUUAUUAAUGUACCUUUAGUUCUACAAAGAAUGUCAUAUGUAGCUAUAUGUUUCGAUUUUUAAUACAUCGUAAGGCUGCAUGAUGAGACUAAUGAUGAUUUUGAAAAGUUGCUUGAAAGGCACGAGCUCUGCUUUGUUUUUUUUGUGCAGGCUGUACACACUCCAAUAGUCACUCAUCCACAAUUUGACAAGCAUGCCUUGAUAAUGCCUCGAAAUUCAUGGCGGUAUCCCCUUCGUGGCAGUAAUGCACCCUAAAAAAAUCCAUUCAUUUUGUGGCCAGAGUGCUGUGUUGUGCCCUUCUCGCUGAGAGUGCUGCGCAAUCCGAAGCGUCUCUCACUC
ensembl:lncRNA